UUAUUUUUUCUGGCCUCGGCCAUGAACUUGUAGGCCCAAAUUCCAGACUCCACGGGAGGAGGGGAAAACCCUUUGUUUAAAAAGAAAUGAGAUUCCUGAUGAACCUGUAACAACUGAAACUCCACUGAAAUACCACACACGCGGGCAAAAAGACACGUUCUUCAGUCAAAGAAGCCAUGAAACUCCUUCCCAGAGUGGUUACUUGGGAGUGGGGCUGGACAGACACAGGCCGUGGGGGUAGGGCGCGUUGUUUUAUCCCAAGAGACACUGAACCUGCCCCAGGAUGGUCUCACUGAACACCGAGGGCAAGGCUCUUCCAGGAAAUGUCUUGUUCCUGCCAUUGGCACGAAUGCACGGCGGCUUUAUUUCUGGAAGAUUCUAUUCUGCCUUUCCCAGUGUGCAGUUAUCCGCAGCCGUGGCAAUAUAGCUUUCUGCCUCGAAAUGUCGAUGUUAAGGGUCAUAGGUCACCUCUGGGCCACAGGCAUGGGCUACCCGCAGCCUGGGACUCAGGCGGUCCACAGCCACAGCCACAGCCCGGGCUGGCGGGCGCACAUCACCGGUUAAAGGCUCGGAGAAUGUUUUCCAGCACCUGGGCCGGGCGGCCGCCACCCAGGGCUGGGCCCGCCUCGCCGCCUGCAUUCUUCCCAGGAUCUGGCAGACGGCAGACGGGACGAGGGUGAGUGCAGAGCCCUGGGGGGAGAUGCGAUCACCUCAGCCCGCAGGCCAGGAGGCUCUGGUGUAGCCUGGCCCUGGUUUAGCCGAGGGGCUGCUCUGGGUCACUGUGUCCCGAGACUUCCCUUUCCUGUCCUUGGAGGGCCAGCGGGCUCACCGCCUCCUCCGCGGUUGCUGAGGCUACAUCGACCCAAGAACACAGGGGACAUUUAAUGCGACGGUUACCCCAGCUCGAAGGAGCCCACCUUCCCCUAAAGAUGUGCAGAGGCCUCUUGGGUCCUGGACUACAACCCGAUCCUGACUCGUGUGUGCCAUCGUAAGCAUUAGCCUUUCUUCUAAAACCCCACAGCCGCGAACUUACCUGAAGGUUCCUGGAAUGCAGUUAAGCUGUUUGGCCAUGAACACAGAGAACACACACACACACAGCGUGAAAGCAACACAUGAAGCCGCAGCACAUCACACCUAAGGACGGACGCGAGAGCCACAUGGGUGCCGUGGCAUGGCUACUGGGACUUGAAAAACAUUGAACGCUUCAGUGUGGCUGGGAAGUCUGAAAUGGAACCUGCCUCCCUGUGCUGUGUUCUGGGGUCAGUGACAACGCUGUUAUCUCCUGGGUGGCCGUCACACGGGAGACUGUGGGACACGCAUUGCAUUAUGAAGACAUUUAACACACACACGCAGCACAGCCUUAGAAAUUCUUGAAAGGCCUUAAGAGAAUAAAGAAGUGCACAUCAUUUCUUUAUCAUGCACGCUCAAAAUUCUCAUUUGAGCCACAGAUGCACACCCUGGCUAACUGCUGCUUUUGAUUAACUGUGGCAAAAAGGGUAACACCCCAGACUGAGCGAAGUCUUGGGGGCUGGGGGUACCAAUUAGAGAUAGAGCCCUGGAGAAGGAGGACUUGGAGAGGGGAGGGGUCCCUAACAGAUGGGGAAAGGUGAAAAUGGGGGGCAGGGAGGGUCCCCAAAGAUCUGGUUAGAAGAGCAUUGCUUCAUUACUUUGACUUUAAUCAUGACACCUCUGAAAAUUAUUUUUUUGUACCCAAAGCCAACCUGUGGAGGACCUUACCUUUGAGCCUCUUUGCCCCGGGCUAAAGCUGUUUGAAAAAAAAAUUCACAUGCAAACAUUUACAUGGUU